GACGAACGCUGGCGGCGUGCUUAACACAUGCAAGUCGAACGAUGAAGCCCAGCUUUCUGGGUGGUUUAGUUGCCAACGGGUGAGUAACACGUGAGCAACGUGCCCGACACUCUGGAAUAACUACCUGAAACGGUGGCUAAUACUUGAUAUGUGCCAUGGUGGCAUCUCCUCUGUUUGGCAAGAUUUUUCGGUUUCGGUUCGGCUCACGGCCUAUCAGCGUGUUUGUGGGGUAAUGUCCUACCAAGGCUACGACGGGUAGCCGGCCUGAGAGGGUGACCGGCCACACGGGGACUGAGACACGGACCAGACUCCUACGGGAGGCAGCAGUGGGGAAUAUUGCACAAUGGGCGCAAGCCUGAUGCAGCAACGCCGCGUGAGGGAUGACGGCCUUCGGGUUGUAAACCUAUUUUAGAAGGGAAGAAGCGAAAGUGACGGUACCUGCAGAAAAAGCACCGGCUAACUACGUG
rnacentral:rRNA from 1 species